rnacentral:snoRNA from 1 species
GCAUGGAUUUGCAUUUAUGGCAGGCUCGUCCCCAUGGGCCUCUCAUUGUGUCCCAUGCUAGAGCAAACUGUGGUUCCUAACCAUUGCCCAGCCUCCAUGCCUGAAGGCGACAGGCACUGAAGUGGGUCACACAGUG